UCAGGCCGCCAGAUCUGGCGGUCCGGAGGCCAGAUCUGGCAGUCCGGAGGCCAGAUCUGGCUGUCUGACGGCCAGAUCUGGCUGUCCGGA
rnacentral:pre_miRNA from 1 species